GUCUACGGCCAUGCCACCCCAAACACGCCCGAUCCCGUCUGAUCUCGGACGCUAAGCGGGGUCGGGCCUGGUUAGUACUUGGAUGGGAGACCACCUAGGAAGACCAGGUGCUGUGGGCG
rnacentral:rRNA from 1 species